CAUCAGCAGCCACCAAGGAACCAGGUGGGGCAGGCGUGUCCUGAGGGCACCUGUCCAAAGCAGGACCUGCCCAGGCUUGAUGACCGGAUGCUGGAUGGUCACUGAGACCAGACCUCUCUGACAUCAAGGAAAACUGCCGCAGCUUGCCGCCAGACCUGCCCCUUGAGUGUAUGACACUCUGCUUGGCGUUCGGUCCCCAGCAGCCUGUCACACGGUGGAGCAAAAGAGAGAACAAGGCAGUGAGCUACUGGAGAGAACAGCAGCAGAAAGACAAGGGAGGAGCCAUUCCUAGAAGGACCCUUGAAUAACACAGAAAGAAAGAACUGAGGCUGAAUCCCACCCAAAGACACCAAGUCCCUGCUACUUCAGGGUCUGAAACUGACUAGCAUCGCUUCAUUGUGCGGCCAUGCACACAGCACUCACUGUGCAUCGAGUUGCUACAAGAAGCUUCUUGCAUAGAACGUUUGCUGCGUAGUCAUGCUGGCUGAAUAGGCACCAGCACAACCAGGGCGUGGAGAGAGUGUGGCAUGGCAGGUGGAGCCACACAGUGGGAAUUCAUUAAUCUGGGACAGGAGGCAAACUCAGCCUGCUGCCUGUGAUCUGACCAUAAGCUGUAAACUGAUAUGGGGACCUCUGGUGACCCGUCUCCCUCACAAUGGCCAGGCUCUUGGGCUGAAGAAAGAUUUCUAGAAGAGAUCUAAACAUACAGCAUCAGUUCCUAAGAGUCUAGCCUGCACCCCAGGUAGAAAACUAGCGUGGGUGCCUCAUGGGAUAGAAAGUAGCCUUAGAGAAGAAUUGAGUUCUGACUGUUCCUCAUCUUGUCUCCUGAGCUGUGUGUGGCGGGAUGCACCUGUGUCCAGCAGGACAGACCUCAUGAACACAUCUGGACAGGAGAAAGCAUCAAGCAAGUCUGACGGCUCUUCCGGCAUGGGCCCUGACCAUUGUCUUUGUAUCACAGUUGCAGGUACUGUUGUUGGCCACUUUCUUAGUGGAAUCGCAUGAAGAAGAGGCAUUUGUUUAAUCUCCAAACUCUUCAGUAGCUUAGCUGUAAUUUUAUUCUGCAUUUGUGCACUGUGUCAUUAAAAUACCAUAUAUUUUAAUAGUGAAGGAAGCCCGGACGCUGGCCCAGUGUGGGCUUUUUGAUGGCUCUAUCUAUGUGUCUGGAUAGAUGGUCCAUGGUUGUGGCAUGUUUUAAUCAUUGUAACCUGCUGUAGAACACCACUGAUGCCCAAGGCAGCCAUGUCUCUGAAGGAUUAAAAUGCUCCGCUCAACAGAGCUCAGAACUCUAUGAUGACAUGUUCACUGGGGAUCGUAAUGGUUACUGUAGACCCACAAAAUCUUAAACUCAAAUUUCUCUGUGUUAAAAUCUUUGCUGCGCCCAGGUGCCCCCAGUGAUGCUUUGCUCAGUUAAAGCAGAUAGAAAGAGAAAGAAGCAAGAGAGACGCAGCAUAGCUGGAAUAGCAAGGAACUGGGCCAAAGCACCUUUCCCAUGGGGCUGGAACUGAUAAGUACCAAUCUUGUGGAGCCACUGUCCCAUAUGAAAGAAACUGGGAAGCCCCAGAACCCACUCACCACGUUCACUCCUUGCAGUCACACCAGAUACCAUUCUGGUCCUGUUCCCUCUGUCAUUUUCCAUCUCCAGACGUCUGAAGGCCUCAUUCCCAGCACAUACCAGCAGGGAGGGGCCGUCCAGGAGUGUCUGCAGAGAGUCCACCUGGAAGAAGUUAGCACAGAGUUGGGAGCCUGGCCUGCAGAGCCCCUCUGCUCCGGAAGGCCCAGGAAGGAAGUUCCAUCUCCUCGACCCUUCUUGACUCUUGCAGAAAGAACAAUGGCUAUGCAGUGGGCCACUCUCAUAGGCAUUCCACCUGAGAGUGGGGGACUCGGAAGGACCAGGAUUGGAAGGCUUCUGGCAAGGAACUCUAGAUAAGCAGCUCUCACAGUCUUCCUGACAACUGGCUAGUGGGUGAAGACAUACUCGUCAUUGGAUGACCAUUGUGGACUUACAGAAUACCUAUUUAUCACUGAGAUAAGCCAGGAAGGUGGCUGACUUCAGAGCAGAAGAUACGAUAUAUUGGGCUAUCACCAAGAAUCUACUGUGUAUCUGGGUACGGUGGUGUACACUUUCAAUCUAAGCACUCAAGAGGCAGAGAAAGGUUCCUAUCUAUGAGUUCCAGAUCAUCCUGGAACACACAAGUUCCAGGCCAGCCAGGAUAUAUAGUGAGACCCUAUUCCAAAACAAACAAUAAGAAAUCACUUUCUAGCCAUACACUUUAUCACCCACAUAGUGUGGAAUAGUGGGAUGGAUAUUCUCUAGAAGAUUCCAUGUGGGAACCAGCUGGGAGGCACCCCUUUAUGAGGAUGUUACCCCAUAGGAUGUGAUAUGCAUUUCCAAGGCAAGCUAUGUGAGCUGCUGUGAACAGACAGCUGGGGACAAGAGUCAUUCAUUCUCACCAGAAGACAGACAGCGUGGAGAUGGUGUGGUGAAAGUAAAUAUGACCUUUUUG